UACAGAGGUGGCAAGCGUUGUUCGGAAUUACUGGGCGUAAAGGGCGCGUAGGCGGCUUGGUCAGUCCCGUGUGAAAUCCCUCGGCUCAACUGAGGAACUGCACGGGAAACUGCCUGGCUUGAGUUCGGGAGAGGGAAGCGGAAUUCCGGGUGUAGCGGUGAAAUGCGUAGAUAUCUGGAGGAACACCGGUGGCGAAGGCGGCAUCCUGGACCAAUACUGACACUGAGGAGCGAAAGCCAGGGGAGCAAACGGG
rnacentral:rRNA from 1 species